rnacentral:tRNA from 1 species
GUCUCGGUAAGUCUAAAGGCUCAAGACGCUCGCACGGAAUGCAAGAGAUCCGGGUUCGACUCCCGGCCGAGGCA